rnacentral:rRNA from 1 species
UGAGGAAUAUUGGUCAAUGGACGCGAGUCUGAACCAGCCAUGCCGCGUGAAGGAUGAAGGCGCUCUGCGUUGUAAACUUCUUUUGCGGGGGAAGCAACCUUGAUAUUCUUAUCAAGCCGACGGUACCCCGAGAAUAAGCACCGGCUAACUCCGUGCCAGCAGCCGCGGUAAUACGGAGGGUGCAAGCGUUAUCCGGAUUUACUGGGUUUAAAGGGUGUGUAGGCGGAUUAUUAAGUAAGCGGUGAAAUCUCCAGUCUCAACCUGGAAACUGCCAUUGAUACUAUUAGUCUUGAAAAUUGUUGAGGUGGGCGGAACGGGUCAUGUAGCGGUGAAAUGCAUAGAUAUGACCCGGAACACCGAUUGCGAAGGCAGCCCACUAAGAAAUGAUUGACUCUGGGGCACGAAAGACGGUGGAUCAAACA